rnacentral:rRNA from 1 species
UACAGAGGGUGCAAGCGUUGUUCGGAAUUAUUGGGCGUAAAGCGAGUGUAGGCGGUUAUCUAAGUCUGGUGUGAAAGCCCGGGGCUCAACCUCGGAAGUGCACUGGAUACUGGGUAACUAGAGGGCGAUAGAGGGGAACGGAAUUAAUGGUGUAGGGGUGAAAUCCGUAGAUAUCAUUAGGAACACCGAAAGGCGAAGGCUGUUCCCUGGGUCGCAACUGACGCUAAGACUCGAAAGCAUGGGUAGCAAACAGG